rnacentral:misc_RNA from 1 species
AUUUAUCAGCUAGUUUCAGGCAAGACCAAGCAGGAGGUUGCAGAAGAAUGCAGAGAUAUGAAUUGGGGAACAUUCAAAAUCGUGCUUACAGAUGCUUUAGUUGAUCAUCUACACCCUAUCCAGGUACGCUACGAGGAAAUCAUAUCCGACUCAAGUUACUUGGACGAAGUUUUAGCAGAGGGAGCCAGAAAAGCAGCAGACAUAGCAGAUGUUACUGUAAAUAAUGUCUACCAGGCAAUGGGAUUCUUGAAGAGAUGAGCAUGACCGCUGCUGCAUGAAAACCAAAGAUGCAGAGGUCAAUGUGAUAUUUUUAAAGCAUACAUGCAUCGGUAUGUGUUCCAAAACUCCACUCGCAGAAUUACACUAGAAAUGUUGUUGUCACAAUCUCAAUGGAGG